GCACCUGCAGCGCGCGAUGGUCUACGUGGACUAAGCAAGCCGUUAGAACCGCACCUGGCACGGAGUUCUGGGUCCCGCUGCUGUCGCCAAGAAGGGAGCAGGUUCAGAGCAGGUGGCCACUUGCCCAACUGAGCAGGGGAGGCUGACAGCAAACGUGCUGAAGUCGGGCCAGCUAGGUGGGCAGGGCUGCGAAGAGGGCCGUGGGUGGGGGUGCGGGGAGGGGUGAGGGCCGUGUCUGCGGUGGGGGGCGUGUCCAGCGGUCUGCAGAACCCCGACCCCAGUGAUGGCACAGGGUACCUCUGACUCAGUUGUCCCCAAAACACAUGGACACCACCCCCCCGGCCCCAGACGUAUGUCAUCCCAUCUCCCCAUGUUCCCCCGGAGCAUCCCCUGGGAGGAAGAACUUGGUCCUGACUCGGAGAUCUGCCCCAGGCACCGAGGACGCGCCUGCUCCGGCUCCUGCUCAGAGCCUGCCACUGUCAAGACUUAUGGCCGCCUCGUCUCUCCCCCUCGCGGGGUCUGGCUACAUCACUUAUCUCCCCGACGCUGACCUGCCAGCAGCUGCAGGAGGCUCUCUCCGAAACGCACAGGUCUAUCCCAUUGCCGCACCAUUUGGGUACGCAGCAGACACACCGACCUUGAACCUCAUCUGUUCUAAGGACCCCGCCAGCCCGGCUCGCUCCCUGGGAAACUUGGACACAACCCUCUUGCCCUGGCCCCGGGCCUCAGUCUGUCCCGGGAGGACAGGAAACUGGGGAGUCCCACCUCUGAGGGCCCACCUCUCCUACUCUCUGCUUCAAACGCCGAUGCCCAAGUCCUGCUUCCCAAUCUCAUCUGCUGGCUCCCGUUUGGAAAGUUCGAGUCACUGGAAGACAGAACGGUUUCUCUCCCGGAGUUUCCAACCACUGCAUGCGCAUCGCCCCGUCUCGGCUCCUCUCCUUACCCCGACUGCUUUAUUGGAACUGUUUGCUUCUCAAGUAGUUACAGGAAGUCCAGGGCCCAUGGCAGUCCGUCCACUCCUCUGCAGCAUAAUCUAUGCAUCAUUCAAGUGCAUGUCCCUCCGGCCAUCGGUGACCUCGGGUCACCUUCCUGGGAGCCUUUCUGCAGUGGGCACCCUGCUCAGCUACUCCUCCGGUACCCCCACAACUUGCCUCUGGACCACCAGGCCUUGAUCUCCACCCUUUCUCGCACACCGAAAGGGCUCUGGCUCUCCCCUUGCGUUCCCCUCUUUACCUUCCCCAAAGCCCUCACAUCCCAGAAACAUUUGUCAGGGAUUUGCCAAUAGCCACUUUUUCAUCCGCUGGGGCAAGAGUCAUCUCUGCAUAUAGAUGUUUUGUAAUAGAUGCUGCAUUGAUUAUGUAAAGUUCUUUUGGGAAUUGCCUGGCCAUUUCUGGGUCCUCACUGACCAGUUCCACCUCCAGCACACAUCUCGGGUCUCCUGGGUCAGGGUGCCAGACCACCUGAGCCAGAGGCUCGGGGAGAGAGCCCAGUCCCAGGUGGCUGCUCGUGUGGGGAGGACGGAUGGCUCUACCCAUCGAGGUGGACUUGCACGGCCCACCCUACUUUGGACAGGCUGGUUGAGGAAGGUCCAUUUCAUCCGAAUGUGGCUUAUUCCUCAGUUGGAAGCAAUAACCACGAUCCUGGAGAUGAACCUUUUUUUUUUUUUUUUUUUUGUACUUUGCAGCGUACCAGGCAAAGCACAUUCCUCCGUUAAUUCAUACUAUCCUCGCAACAACCUCGUGUGAGAGGGGUUAGCACCCUGCCCUCUUAACGGAUCUGGAAAGUAAGGCGCUGGGAAAUGACUUGCCCAAGGAGGCAAUCGCAGCCCU
rnacentral:lncRNA from 12 species